AGAUUAGGCACAAAUAAUUAAAUGAAAAAAAAAAACAGAACAACGAAAACAAAACGGCUUGAAGUUGAACUACUUCUCUCUUAAAUCCUGAAACAGCACUCAGUCCCCCCUUAACAUCUGCUCUGCGUAACAAUGUCUUGGCUUUUCGAAUCUCUUCAGUACGAUGUUCCGGAUUUGCCAGCGCACCAACACGAAGAUGACAGCUCUACCAAUAGAAACGGCGGCGUAAAAGAUGACCUCUCACUCAUUGGCGAAACAAUCAGCCGUCAAUUUCGUGGAGUUGCCGCUUUUCUGGCGCCACCGCCUUUAACUGCAAACGAACGGCAAUCAAAACUGGCGCCUCCGCCGCAAUGGUCUGAUUCCCCGUCGUCUCCCUCCGCAGUUUUGCUGGGGAUUCGCAAUGAUCUUGUGGAAAUCGGUGGCAGCUUCAAGAGUGGACUCUCCAUGCUCUCGAGUAACAAAGCGGUUACUAGAAUCUCCAAAUUCGUGUCCAAUUUGUUGCGGUUUCAAAAUCAAGAUGAAUAUGAAGAUGAGUUUGAUGGAGUUCCCGGGAUUACGAAGGAUGUUCUUGAAUUUGUUCAGAAAAUUUCCCAGCGCGCGGGAUGUUGGACUGAAUUUCCGUUAUCCUUAGAUGAUGAUUUUGAAAUGUCUGAUGCUCAGAGAGAUCAUGUUUCUGCUGUUGAACAUCUGGUUCCAAGUUUCAGAGAUCUUAGAAUUCGCCUUCACCAUUACUUGGGAGAUCGUCAAUUUUGGAUGAUAUAUUUUAUAUUGUUGCUUCCAAGAGUUAAUGACCAUGAUUUUGAGCUUCUACAAACUCCAGAGAUUAUCGAAACAAGAAAUAUACUUCUGCAGAAGCUACAAGACAAUAAGACUGCUCAAGUAGAUAACUCUAGUGCUCAAGCAUCAGCACAAAAGGAGGUUUCUGAGAUUGUAAGUGCAACACAAUGUCUAGAAAUCAAUGAUGUGGAGAAUACUGAGAGAUGGCUGGAUGAUACAGAUAUCGAUGGUUGCGUUUCUGUAAAUAACCAGCAGAUGGUUGAACAUGAAGAGGAUGUCUCAUUCUGUGAUUUGGAAGAUGAUGGCAAUGAUCUUCCUUCUCGACUAUCAGCUUCUAGGCCAGGACAAGAAGUUAAGACUAUUUCACCGAGUGGAUCUACAGAUUGGAUAAAACUAAAUGAUAGUUCUGAAAAUCAGAGUGACCUAGAGAAGGCACGACAGUCUACUUCUCAAGAUAAAGAAUCGGAAGGUGAAUCAAGCGAUUGGCUUGCAGUUGAUGAAUUUGAUUAGACAGUUGACAGCUGUUUGAUAUGCAGCAGAUUCAUUGUAAAGUUUCAGAGAUUAUGAUCUCAUGGAUCUCCUGUUCUGUGUUUUGGGUCUCAGCCUUCAUUAAUCCAAAGGUUUGCUCAUUGGAUGACAUAUGCCACAUUCAGGUCUAAAGUCAAUUUCAAGAAGAUCAUCAUUGUCAAGGUUCAGUGUGGGUUUGUUUUGCAAACUCAGACAUGAGAGAAAAAACAGGUUUCUGAAGUUCCAAAUUCGGUAUAGGUGUAUAGGUCUCUCUUCCAUGCUUGACUGCUGUAUGAAAAGUCUUUCAACUUCAAGCUGUGGCAUAGCACUUGCAUGUGCAGUGAAGGAAAGAACAAAUAGUUAAACCACAAUUUUCGUGGCCCCCCUUCACCUUCCAAAUUGAAACAAGUCACCUUCCCUUCGCAAACAGAGUCCCAUUUAGAAGAGAAGUAAAUAAAUAAAUAAUAGGAGCCAGCUCAGAA